AGCAGCCGCGGUAAUUCCAGCUCCAAUAGCGUAUAUUAAAGUUGUUGCAGUUAAAAAGCUCGUAGUUGAAUUUCGGGAUUUAUCCGUUGGUCGGGCUUUCGGGUCUGUACUGGCGUGAUGGAUUCCUACCUUCUGAAUAACCGGCAUGUCAUUAAUUUGGUGCGCCGGGGAAGCAGGACUGUUACCUUGAAAAAAUUAGAGUGCUUAAAGCAGGCUUAUGCCUGAAUACAUUAGCAUGGAAUAAUGAAAUAGGACGGCAUGGUUCUAUUUUGUUGGUUUCUAGGAUCACCGUAAUGAUUAAUAGGGAUAGUUGGGGGCAUUAGUAUUCAAUUGUCAGAGGUGAAAUUCUUGGAUUUAUUGAAGACUAACUUCUGCGAAAGCAUUUGCCAAGGAUGUUUUCAUUAAUCAAGAACGAAAGUUAGGGGAUCGAAGACGAUCAGAUACCGUCGU
rnacentral:rRNA from 1 species